rnacentral:rRNA from 1 species
AGAGUUUGAUCCUGGCUCAGGAUAAACGCUGGCGGCGUGCUUAACACAUGCAAGUCGAACGAAGCACUUUAUUUGAUUUCCUUCGGGACUGAUUAUUUUGUGACUGAGUGGCGGACGGGUGAGUAACGCGUGGGUAACCUGCCUUGUACAGGGGGAUAACAGUUGGAAACGGCUGCUAAUACCGCAUAAGCGCACAGCAUCGCAUGAUGCAGUGUGAAAAACUCCGGUGGUAUAAGAUGGACCCGCGUUGGAUUAGCUAGUUGGUGAGGUAACGGCCCACCAAGGCGACGAUCCAUAGCCGACCUGAGAGGGUGACCGGCCACAUUGGGACUGAGACACGGCCCAAACUCCUACGGGAGGCAGCAGUGGGGAAUAUUGCACAAUGGGCGAAAGCCUGAUGCAGCGACGCCGCGUGAGCGAAGAAGUAUUUCGGUAUGUAAAGCUCUAUCAGCAGGGAAGAUAAUGACGGUACCUGACUAAGAAGCACCGGCUAAAUACGUGCCAGCAGCCGCGGUAAUACGUAUGGUGCAAGCGUUAUCCGGAUUUACUGGGUGUAAAGGGAGCGCAGGCGGGAAGACAAGUUGGAAGUGAAAUCCAUGGGCUCAACCCAUGAACUGCUUUCAAAACUGUUUUUCUUGAGUAGUGCAGAGGUAGGCGGAAUUCCCGGUGUAGCGGUGGAAUGCGUAGAUAUCGGGAGGAACACCAGUGGCGAAGGCGGCCUACUGGGCACCAACUGACGCUGAGGCUCGAAAGUGUGGGUAGCAAACAGGAUUAGAUACCCUGGUAGUCCACACCGUAAACGAUGAUUACUAGGUGUUGGAGGAUUGACCCCUUCAGUGCCGCAGUUAACACAAUAAGUAAUCCACCUGGGGAGUACGACCGCAAGGUUGAAACUCAAAGGAAUUGACGGGGGCCCGCACAAGCAGUGGAGUAUGUGGUUUAAUUCGACGCAACGCGAAGAACCUCACCAAGUCUUGACAUCCCUUGACGGUGCUGGAAACAGUACUUCUCUUCGGAGCAAGGAGACAGGUGGUGCAUGGUUGUCGUCAGCUCGUGUCGUGAGAUGUUGGGUUAAGUCCCGCAACGAGCGCAACCCUUAUGGUCAGUUACUACGCAAGAGGACUCUGGCCAGACUGCCGUUGACAAAACGGAGGAAGGUGGGGAUGACGUCAAAUCAUCAUGCCCUUUAUGACUUGGGCUACACACGUACUACAAUGGCGUUAAACAAAGAGAAGCAAGACCGCGAGGUGGAGCAAAACUCAGAAACAACGUCCCAGUUCGGACUGCAGGCUGCAACUCGCCUGCACGAAGUCGGAAUUGCUAGUAAUCGUGGAUCAGCAUGCCACGGUGAAUACGUUCCCGGGCCUUGUACACACCGCCCGUCACACCAUGAGAGCCGGGGGGACCCGAAGUCGGUAGUCUAACCGCAAGGAGGACGCCGCCGAAGGUAAAACUGGUGAUUGGGGUGAAGUCGUAACAAGGUA